AGUCAGCAUUUAGAGAGGGCUGACGCGCCCCGCCAACCUGCAGCUUGAGCAAGGUGGUUACCUCGCAAGAGGGAUGUGGCCUGAUAGGCAACGUCGAGCGUUG
rnacentral:ncRNA from 10 species